rnacentral:tRNA from 1 species
GCGGGGUGGAGCAGUCUGGUAGCUCGUCGGGCUCAUAACCCGAAGGUCGUUGGUUCGAAUCCAGCCCCCGCUACCA